GCUGGCGGCAGGCCUAACACAUGCAAGUCGAGCGCUACCUUCGGGUGGAGCGGCGGACGGGUUAGUAACGCGUGGGAACGUACCCAGAUCUAAGGAAUAGCCACUGGAAACGGUGAGUAAUACCUUAUACGCCCUUCGGGGGAAAGAUUUAUCGGAUUUGGAUCGGCCCGCGUUAGAUUAGAUAGUUGGUGGGGUAAUGGCCUACCAAGUCUACGAUCUAUAGCUGGUUUUAGAGGAUGAUCAGCAACACUGGGACUGAGACACGGCCCAGACUCCUACGGGAGGCAGCAGUGGGGAAUCUUGGACAAUGGGCGCAAGCCUGAUCCAGCCAUGCCGCGUGAGUGAUGAAGGCCUUAGGGUCGUAAAGCUCUUUCGCCAGAGAUGAUAAUGACAGUAUCUGGUAAAGAAACCCCGGCUAACUCCGUGCCAGCAGCCGCGGUAAUAC
rnacentral:rRNA from 1 species